UAAAUGCGUCACAAAACGACACUACAAUGAUUGAGAUACAUAUAGGAAUGGUGCGAGGGCUCGAGGCUUCUUCCGAUCUCCAAUCGCCAAUACUCCCAUCCGUCUCCUUUCUUCCCCGGCUUUCGCCAUGGCAACCGGCAACCUCGGCUGCGUGGUCGUCGCCGUCGACGGCAGCGAGGAGAGCAUGAACGCCCUCCGCUGGGCCCUCCAGAACCUCUGCCUCCGCUCCGCAGGCGGCGAUGCCGCCGCCGCCACCGGCGAGGCCCAGGACGAGCCUGGUAGUUUUGUCGUUCUCCACGUCCAGUCCCCGCCUUCCAUCGCCGCCGGCCUCAACCCCGGAUCUAUCCCCUUCGGUGGCCCCAGUCAUGUGGAGGUGCCGGCCUUCGCAGCGGCAAUUGAGGCGCAUCAGAGAAGGAUUACCGAGGCGAUUAUGGAACAUGCCCUGAAGAUAUGUGCCGAGAAAAAUGUGAAUGUGAAAACCCAUGUGGUGGUGGGUGAUCCGAAGGAGAUGAUCUGCGAGGUGACUUCCAACUUGAAUGCAGAUCUGCUUGUUAUGGGAUGCCGUGCUUAUGGUCCGAUCAAGAGACAGCGAUAACUGCAAAAAAGGAGUAAAUGGGAGAUGUGAAAGAGAAGAAAGGAGAUAACUAUGUGGAGAAUUGAACAAAAGAAAUUUAAGGAGAGCUGAAGAUGAAGCACUGAAGGAUCAGAGAGCAGAAGAAAGCCCUAAAUUCUUGGGAUCUUUAAAGUGCAAGUGCCAGUCAAGGAGCAAGGCUCCAUUAAUAAGUGUACGUUAACAAAACAAAAAUGGAGAAAGGAGAACAAAGCAAAAACAGAACAAAACUGCAUCCUCAAUGACCAGCCCUAGUUUUGCUAGGAAAGAAGGCAAUUGGGCAGGUGAAGAGGAGCUUAUAGAUGCCUAGGAUGUUUCUGGGUAGUGUAAGCAACUACUGUAUCAAUCAUGUCAGCUGUCCAGUUGUUGUUAUAAAGGGUACCUCUUAAUGUGUUCAAGUACCUCUUAAUGUGUUCAACUUUUCCUCUUCAUAUGCAGAGUUGUACUAUUUUAUCAUGUUCAUUGAAUGGUUUUGAUUGGUUUUGUAUAUGGGUGGUGUGUUGACCAGUUGGAAGAUACUGGGGAUUUCUUCCAAUAUUUGUUGUUACCUGAGGCCAUUUGAUUUUAUUGUUUGAGGCUUAUGAUUGGACUGUGAAAGAGUAUCUGAAAUGAAUAAGGUUUUGGACAUUAGUAAGA